UUUCUUUAUUUUUUAUGACCGAUUAUAGACAAGAAAAGUAAGAUAGUUAGAGAAAAAAAUCUUAUUCUUUCCAUUAUAAUAGCUAAUUUUUAUCUACAACACCAAAAUACGUAUAACGAAGUUCAAAAAUAUUGUCUUUGAGGAAGAGAUACUAAUUGUAGCCAUGCCUUCACAAUUUACUUAGAUUAUCUGAUACUGAUAUGGUUAAUUCUAGAAUUAACAAGGGAGUGAUAUUGAACUUUUGAAUUAAGUUUUGGCAUUCGAUUUUAAGCCCUAAAAAUACAAUUCCCCUAGAUGAGGUUUAGUGACUGAGCCUUGUUUCACUCCAAAAAUUAGUUCAACUUAUUGUAGGAUAUAGUCUUUCCUUACCAUGAAGAAAACGUCACUCAGAAGUUGCAAGAUCGGCCGGAACAACUGAAAAUAUCUUAUAAUGCAUUUAUUACAAAAGGGAGAGAGAUGCAGACUUUAAACAUUAAGUAAAAGUUGUUCAGAGUUCUGAUUUACCAUACCGUUUAUUAAUGAAAUCCUCAUCAUUGUUACUAUAACAUUGAUCCUUAUAAGCUUCAUCAACAAGAUGAAGAUGUUCCGUUUUUACAGUUGUAAGAACUUUCUUCCACAUGUAGUAUGCUUUAUUAUAAUUACCUAUCUUUGUCUA
rnacentral:lncRNA from 1 species